AUUUUUUUUCCUUCCGAGGGAUAUAACACUAUUAUCACCUUCUCCUCAUUUCUCCCCCAUUUCUUUCAAAUCCCAUUUCUCAGUCACUCUAUCCUUAACUCUCUUUUCUCUCCCAACUUCAAUCUCCCUUUCUCGGCCAUGGCUUCAAUUUCAGCAGCCACCACCACCUCCUCUACUAAGCUUGUAUCCUCCAACACCCCCAAUCCUCUUCUUCCUUCCUCCACUAAACCCUCCAAGCUUAUCCUAUCCUCUUCCUUUACCCCCAAUUUUUCCACCCUUUUCCUCCACUCACCCGCCACCCCUUCUUCUACUUCCACCCACCGCCACCGCCGUUUUACUGUCCGCGCUGCCCGUGGAAAAUUCGAGCGGAAAAAACCCCAUGUCAACAUCGGUACUAUUGGCCAUGUUGACCAUGGAAAGACUACUCUAACCGCUGCUUUAACCAUGGCUCUUGCUUCUAUGGGAAACUCAGCCCCCAAGAAGUACGACUAAAUUGAUGCCGCCCCAGAAGAGCGUGCUCGUGGUAUUACUAUUAACACUGCUACUGUUGAGUACGAGACUGAGAACCGUCACUACGCCCACGUGGACUGCCCUGGUCACGCUGAUUAUGUCAAGAAUAUGAUUACUGGUGCUGCCCAAAUGGACGGUGCUAUUCUUGUUUGUUCAGGUGCUGAUGGUCCCAUGCCACAGACUAAGGAACACAUUUUGCUCGCUAAGCAGGUGGGUGUCCCUAACAUGGUUGUGUUCUUGAAUAAACAAGAUCAGGUCGAUGAUGAAGAGCUGCUUCAGCUUGUUGAGUUGGAGGUAAGAGAGUUAUUGUCAAGUUAUGAGUUCCCUGGUGAUGAUAUUCCUAUUAUUUCUGGCUCUGCUCUUUUGGCUUUAGAGGCUUUGAUGGCUAAUCCUAGUAUUAAGAGAGGUGAAAAUCAAUGGGUUGAUAAGAUUUAUGAGUUGAUGGACUCUGUUGAUAGUUAUAUUCCUAUUCCAGUAAGGCAAACUGAAUUGCCUUUCUUGAUGGCCAUUGAAGAUGUGUUUUCCAUUACGGGUAGAGGUACUGUGGCGACAGGGAGGGUAGAGAGAGGGACUGUUAGGAUUGGAGACACUGUUGAUAUUGUAGGUUUGAAGGAUACUAGGAGUACUACGGUGACCGGGGUUGAGAUGUUUCAGAAGAUUUUGGAUGAAGCAAUGGCUGGAGAUAAUGUGGGGUUGUUGUUGAGAGGUAUUCAAAAGAUUGAUAUUCAGAGAGGAAUGGUGUUGGCAAAACCUGGAACGAUUACCCCUCACACCAAGUUCGAAGCUAUUGUGUAUGUGUUGAAGAAGGAGGAGGGUGGUAGGCAUUCCCCCUUCUUUUCGGGGUACAGGCCUCAGUUUUACAUGAGAACUACUGAUGUGACUGGAAAGGUUACUUCCAUUACGACUGACAAAGGAGAGGAAUCUAAGAUGGUCAUGCCCGGUGAUCGUGUGAACUUGGUGGUUGAGCUCAUUAUGCCGGUCGCUUGUGAACAAGGGAUGAGAUUUGCCAUCAGGGAAGGAGGAAAGACUGUUGGAGCUGGUGUCAUUCAGAAAAUUAUCGAGUGAUCAACCAGCAGCGGAGCAAUUUCCCUUCCAAUGGUCUGGCCCCUGUCACACAGUAUUCUUAAUCCAUUGUCAUAUAUGCAGCUUUUUGGUUACUUUUUUCUUAUCUUUUAGAAUCCUAGUUCAGUUGGAGAAAUCUUGUUAUAAGUCAAUCCUAGUGGACAUUUGCGAGUUUGCUUCAGUUUCGUGCUUUGUUUUUUCAUUUGUUUGCAAGGAAGGAGAACAUUUUGUCUCUUGUGCACCUUACUUUCUGCCAGAACAAAUUCAUACUUUUGUUUGAAACUCGAGUUUAACAUGUCAAUGAAGUUUGGUGAAUUUGAUA